AGUGACGCAGGAGGUCGCGAGCCCCGGCCCGGCCCGCAGGACUCCGGAGAGACCCGCGGCCCUCGGCCGCUCACCGCGAGCAGCCCCCAUGGCUGGGAGUUACAGAGUCAUGGGGGACGACGGUUCUAUUGAUUACACUGUUCAUGAGGCCUGGAAUGAAGCCACCAAUGUCUACCUGAUUGUGAUCCUUGUUAGCUUCGGUCUCUUCAUGUAUGCCAAAAGGAAUAAAAGGAGAAUUAUGAGGAUAUUCAGUGUGCCAUCCACAGAAGAAACUUUGUCAGAGCCCAACUUUUAUGACACAAUGAGCAAAAUUCGUUUAAGACAACAACUGGAAAUGUAUUCCAUUUUUGGUUGAAUCCACAGAUACAGAGGGCCAACUGUAUGUGUAAGAUAAAACCUAAAAAAAUUCCUCAGCAUAAAUUUUACCCUAAAACCUGAAAACAGCAGAUCCUUGGAAAGAACUGGGAAGCAAGGAAGUAUGACUAUCAGCAGCCACAAAGCCAAGCUGACACUGUGCAGCUCUCACUGGAAUGAAAUCUCAGAAAAUGAGCAACAGAAGUAAUUGCUAGCUGGUAUGGUGACUCAAAGGCCUCUAAUUCCAGCACUAGGGAGGCUGAGGCAGGACACUCACCAAUUCAAGGUCAGCCUGGGCUACAUAGUGAGUUCAAGUGUAGCCUGAACUACAAGGCUAGUGAGACCUGUCUCAGAGAGCAAAAAUAUAAAAAAAAAAUUUUUUAAAGAGUAAUUGUGAAAAGUACCAUAGCAAAUGCCUACUUCCUUCUAUGAAAUCACAAAUGAUAUUUAAAAAAAAAAAAGAAAAACAAAAACUUCUCUGUGUAUAAAAUCAUUUUAUUUGUGGCUUUUCCCCAUUUUUUGGUGUUAUAUUUUGCUUUUAAAAUUACUUCUCCCUGACAUUUGUUACACAAAUACAAAUGGCUCAAAAGGCCUAAACACAGAGCCUGCACAUCCCCAGGAAGAUACAGUAAGACCAGACGUGGGUUUCUCCCCCUGAGGACCUUUGAUUUCUUCAUGAUACAAUCAGUGAGAAAUAAAAACGUAUCUUUGGAUGUGAGAAUCCUGGAGUUUAUGCCACCUUGAUUAAAAUAGUUUUGGAAAAUUAAAAAAUAAAAAUCCAGCUGUUAGAAUAACUUCUUUUUAGAUUGUUUUUGUGAUGAGUGCAGUAUAAAUAACAGACUAAUUUUCAUUCUUAGUACUCUUAUUAAAUGACUCCUUAAUCAAAUUAGUGGUCUUGCUUCUUCAGAACUUUUCUGUCAGGAAGCAUACCCAUAUGAUGCUACUCUUAGAAGCUUUCUGUGACUCGAUUUCCCCCCCUUACUUGUGUUGCCUGUAGUUUUGCUUUUUAUUCUCUAUCUUUUCUAUUAGGUGGGGCUUCUUUGACCCAUACAGGGCCAGGCUGUAGGAACAAAUGGAUCCCUCUAUGUAGCUGUUGGCAACUUGCUUUUCAGUCAUGUCAUUGUCAGUAAUGUUACUCUCUGGUUUCUUCUACUUUUUAAAAAAAUUUUUUUAUUCUUAGACUUAAGCUUUUCUGAAGACCCUCCUAUCUUGUGCCAUUUUGUACUAUACAGUGAAAUAUUUUUACUUAUUUUUUUCAUGUUUAUUUAAAUAAAUGCUGGAUGAAAGUAGUGGUUCAAGUAUAACUCAAAUAGUUUUUUAAUUAAAGCUCUACUUAAUUUUAAGAGUUUUUUAACAAUCAUUUCAAGUAUUUCUUUGUUACUGUGAAACUAAAGAAUAUAAACUUCAAAUAAAAAUUAAGGUUUAGAGCAAA